rnacentral:tRNA from 1 species
UCCCUGGAGGGCUAGCGGUUAGGCCACAGCGCUCUCACCUCUGCAGCCCAGGUUCGAUUCCCAGCCAGGGAA